rnacentral:rRNA from 1 species
CGGCGGACGGGUGAGUAACGCGUAGGAAUCUGCCCAGUAGAGGGGGAUAGCCCGGGGAAACUCGGAUUAAUACCGCAUACGCCUUAAGGGGGAAAGCAGGGGAUCUUCGGACCUUGCGCUAUUGGAUGAGCCUGCGUUGGAUUAGCUAGUUGGUAGGGUAAAGGCCUACCAAGGCGACGAUCCAUAGCUGGUCUGAGAGGAUGAUCAGCCACACUGGGACUGAGACACGGCCCAG